rnacentral:tRNA from 1 species
CAAAAUGUAGCUUAACAAAAGCACUCCGCUUACACCGCAGCCAUAUCUGUUCAACUCAGAUCAUUUUGAA